AUUGAACGCUGGCGGCAGGCCUAACACAUGCAAGUCGAGCGGAUGAAGGGAGCUUGCUCCUGGAUUCAGCGGCGGACGGGUGAGUAAUGCCUAGGAAUCUGCCUGGUAGUGGGGGAUAACGUCCGGAAACGGGCGCUAAUACCGCAUACGUCCUGAGGGAGAAAGUGGGGGAUCUUCGGACCUCACGCUAUCAGAUGAGCCUAGGUCGGAUUAGCUAGUUGGUGGGGUAAAGGCCUACCAAGGCGACGAUCCGUAACUGGUCUGAGAGGAUGAUCAGUCAAACUGGAACUGAGACACGGUCCAGACUCCUACGGGAGGCAGCAGUGGGGAAUAUUGGACAAUGGGCGAAAGCCUGAUCCAGCCAUGCCGCGUGUGUGAAGAAGGUCUUCGGAUUGUAAAGCACUUUAAGUUGGGAGGAAGGGCAGUAAGUUAAUACCUUGCUGUUUUGACGUUACCAACAGAAUAAGCACCGGCUAACUUCGU
rnacentral:rRNA from 1 species